UAAAGCGUGCGCAGGCGGUUAUGUAAGACAGAUGUGAAAUCCCCGGGCUCAACCUGGGAACUGCAUUAGUGACUGCAUAGCUGGAGUACGGCAGAGGGGGAUGGAAUUCCGCGUGUAGCAGUGAAAUGCGUAGAUAUGCGGAGGAACACCGAUGGCGAAGGCAAUCCCCUGGGCCUGUACUGACGCUCAUGCACGAAAGCGUGGGGAGCAAACAGGAUUAGAACCCCAGU
rnacentral:rRNA from 1 species